AUUGACCCCUUUCAGGACUUAAGUGAAGAGAUAACGGUGGUCUUUGAAGUCUGUUCGUGGAAAAGCUGUCAUCAGAGACUAACUGGAAAAUCCUCAUGAACUGGGUCCCUGACCUACCGAUUUGCAUUGCCCACAGGCUGGGCAUGUUUUACCAGAGGCAGGUCUACAGCAGGUUGAGAGCAUUUUCUGCCAAGAAAACUCAUGUCCUGACUGAUAUACGGUACCCUGAGUGAGCGAGGUCUCGCUCUGUCACCCAGGCAGAAGAGCAGUGGUACGAUCUUGGUUCAUUACAGCCUUGACCUCCUGAGCUCAAGUGAUCCUUCCACCUCAGCCUCCGGAGUAGCUGGGACCGCAGGAAUGCAAUACCAUGUCUGGCUAAUUUUUGUACUUUUGGUAGAGGCGGGGUCUUGCUACCUUACCAGGGCUGGUCUCAAACUCCCGGGCUCAAGCGAUCCUCCUUGCCUUGGCCUCCCAAAGUACUGAGAUUACAGGCAUGAGCCGCUGCACAGAGCCCCACUAACUAUUUUUUGAAUAAAUCUGAGUUCCUGAAAGAUUGAAUACAAUCUGUUUAGAGGAAGAAGCUGUAAAACUGUAAUAAGAUGAAAGAAGAAGAAAGGAAGAAAAGGAGGAGCGAAAGGAGGAGGGGAAGAAACUGAUUCAUGCAGGUUAAAUAAUAUCAUAAUUAUUCCACUGUAAUUUUUUUGCACUUUAAAGUACUCACCUGUCUAUUCUGUACUGGAGUUCUGACCUUGUUUCUGGUCUACCACACCACUGCAUUUUCAAACCAAGAAUUCACUGAGAGCGAAUAGGAAGGCUCGUGCACCAGAGAGACUAUUCUCAUUUAUUUCUUAAUUAUUUAUCAACAAAACUUCAUUGGCACACUUAUUGAGAGAGUUUCAAAUCAGCGUGCUGGGCGCUGGGAAGCGCACUGGGUGCUGAGACACGGGAAGCCACAGCUUCUCUGGAGAAGCUCGCAUUCUGAAAGGAAGCGUUGGGAGAGGACAUGGAUGAAAACAUACAAGACAAAACAGUGAGCAUUGUGAUAAGAGAUAAUACAGUGUCACAGCAGCAAGAAGAAGGAAUUCACGACUCUCAAGAGGUCGAGAUCAUCCUUGAACCACCACUGACCUCAAGGCAAGGCACAAGGCGAAGAGCCCCCGAGUGGCACAGGGAGAUUGAGGGUCUCAUCCCCACUCAUAGGAAUUCAGCCCAUCAGUGGUCUAGACUGAGACAAGAAAUUAAGUAAAUUUGACUCCUAUGCCACUUCUAUAUUUAUCCAUUCAUUCGUGGGAACACUGAGAUUCCACUCCCUGUGCCUGACAGUUUGAACUAACAUUCUUACAUGUUGGUAUCACUCAAGAAUCACACUGGGAGAAGGUGGGUUUAGGUUUCUCUAGCUAGAAAAAGACUCACCACAAGGAAUCGAAUGUAAUCCUAGUUCUAAUCCAAUCUAGACCAAAAGGGUCCAGUUACUGUCCACAGAGGGCUGCGUCCAGGAAGGCCAUACUGGUGUGCUCCCAGCCACAGCCCCAGCAUGGCCGACACACAGGAAUGAAAGGUCAUGCCAGCUCCUGCUCCUUCCUUAUCCUAAGAGCCCGAGGCCCACACCUUCCCUUAAACAGACCCAGGGCACAGCCCUUCCUUAAGUCAUCCCAUAACAGUGCUGGACUACCAAAGUCCAAGCCACCACACAGGGAUGACAUAAGUGAGGUUUCCAUCUGCCAGGAGGCCAGAGGAAUGCAAGUGUCACGUCAUGGGGAAGGAAGGCCCAGUAGUAACAGUCACCUCCGAGGGGCCUUCCUUGUGGAUUGAGGGUGUCUUCUCCAUGCAGUUAGCUUAAUAACAAUAAACAGGUGGACUAGGUUCAUGAUUGAUAAAUUCCUUCUCUACCCAACCCUCCCCCUGCCCUAGACAAUGUUGGUGUCUGUACAAUUAGAAGGAUCUAUUCUCUUUUUAAUGCGGAAGCAAAGCAGAGUGAUAGGAGCUUAGAGAAAUCGCAGCACAGAUGUCAAGGCCGUAGGCCCAAGGGCUGUUAAAAAAAGAAAACUCUGUAAAUGGAAGUGAGGCUUAGUAAGGCACAGCCCUUAAGUCUUGGCUCACAAUGCAAAGGAAAAAAAGAAAAAAGAAAAAAGACUGGUGGGUGGGGGAGUUUCCUGAAGCCAUGAGUAAAAUCUGGCAGAAAGCAUUCUAUACAGCCUUUUUUGGUUUCAAUCCGCAUGACAUCACAAUCUGUGAAUUUUGCUGUGAUUGAAUUUGAAUGAACUUGUAGAUUCAAAACAAAACCCAUUUGAAACAAGCUCCACAAAGCAACUCUAGCUUCCCUGCAGCAGUUAAGUGCAUUUCCUAACUGCCUUCUUCUUUUCUGGAUGGCAAGGCCCGCCUGGGAUAACACGCCAAGUCCAAACCACACAGACACAUGCAUGCACACGCAUGCAGACACAUACAAGCACACACAGACAUAUGUGCACACACACAUGCAGACAUACAUGUGCACAUACACUCAUUCACAGAAACACACACACACACACACACACACAGUGGGAGCAGCAGGUCCAAGAGAAGUGGCAGGAGCACUGGACUGGACUGUCGAUUCUACCUGGGAGAACCUGCCCAUCCUUUUGUUCUGCUUCCCCUUUUUAUUCCUAUUAUCUUAGUUCUGCCCAGUAAAGGCAAGAAGGAAGACCUAGACCAGCCCUGCAAACACAUUGUGAGCUUAGAGAAACCAGGGCAGAAGAAAAGAAAACCACACAACAGUACUGGUGUGACGAUUAAAGUAUUCCAC
rnacentral:lncRNA from 1 species